UACGUAGGGUGCAAGCGUUGUCCGGAAUUAUUGGGCGUAAAGAGCUCGUAGGCGGUUUGUCGCGUCGGCUGUGAAAUCCCGGAGCUCAACUCCGGGCCUGCAGUCGAUACGGGCAGACUUGAGUGUUGCAGGGGAGACUGGAAUUCCUGGUGUAGCGGUGAAAUGCACAGAUAUCAGGAGGAACACCGGUGGCGAAGGCGGGUCUCUGGACAGUUCCUGACACUGAGACACGAAGGCCAGGGGAGCAAACGGG
rnacentral:rRNA from 1 species